rnacentral:piRNA from 1 species
AGCAGAGGUGAUUUGAUUUGUAUGACCUGUU